GUUUUGCAAACAUGGUAACACUAUUACCUCUUUGCUCCUCAAAUGCAAAGGGCACUCCAGCGGGUAAAUGGACAGUAAUGACAACUACCUCUGCACCACAAAGAUUCCAGAUUGUUCCCUCUUUGAGCAAUGGUUACCGGGGUCUUUGAGAAUGACUUAUGUGUGCUAAUUGGAUUAAAGAUGUGUUGACUCAAGCGAUGUUUGAAAAGGCUUCUGGUGAAUUCUGGACUGCCUUUGAAUAGUUCAUCCCUCAUCACAAACACCUGGAGGCAGGAAGGCAUCAGGAAUUGGCUGCACCAGAGAAUGGCUUUUCUUCCCCAGGGUGAAUGCUGGACCCACUCUGCAAAGGAGGCCAGACAAGCUCUCACAAAUAAGGUGAAAGGCACCUCAAAUCAGCUCAAGUAAGACUAGGAUGACAGGUUCCUCAGCCUGGUGGAUCUGCUGACACAGACUACUGAUUUGGGACUCAGCAGGGACACCUUGUUUCACAAGGACCCUUCAUGCCCUCUCUGUAGCUCCUCAGUAAAUCCAGUCCAAGGUUUCUACAGAGGAAAUCCAUUUCCUGCUUUCACUUGCUCUCCACACCCCCUUAAAUGGGUGAUCCAGAAGAUGCAGAGGCCAGAGAGCCAAGGACACUUUGUUCUGAUGCCUCCUACAAACUGCACCUUCAUGUAAUACUCAUCAGUCACUCUGCCUUUGAACUCCUGUCUGGAGGCAAGCAUGAGCUCACUGAACCCAUCUCAUAUGCCUGAGGCGUCCCAGUGGACAGGACUCAAGAUGAGCCACAAGGGCCUCAUCGGAUCCCAGAGAGACACUCCUAGAUUCUUUGACUUGACCAGCAUGGAUUUCAAGCUCUUCUAUCGCAGCAGCCCCUCCAUAGUCGGUCGCUGGCGCAGUAGGCCAGCCGUUCUCGGGUGCUCCAGAUGCCCCGGGCUCUAGCCCUCACCUUUGCUCCCUUAGAUGCGACGUGGGCCCCCUUUCUCCACAUCUCUGCAGGAAACACUUUCCAAAGCUCCCAAGAGGCCCUCCAGAAGUCUCUCAAGGACCAGGUUAAAAGUGAAGGAGGGUGUGAUUCUUCCAUCCCCAAAGCACAAGUAACAGUUGUCUUCUUCACAAAGGCCCUUCCUCUCCACACCCUGACCUCUUUUGAUAACCUUGCUCUGGCUGAGGGUCCCAGAGCUGCAGGAGCAGAACCUGGAAGCGUCCCCUAAAGCUCCUGUCUGUGGGGUUUUGCCUCUGGCUCACUUUCAUAUCUGACAACACUGUACUGACAGCUGAAACUGAGGGGGAAAUGUUCCAUUCCAGCCAAUUGCUUGCUAGCUAGACAAUAAUGAAUUUUUAAGAAUCAUAAUUAGUGCAUUAAAAAAAAUCUCAGCCAUCAUUUUACCAAGUCCAAUGAUUUGUGUGUGUUGUGAUUUUUGUUUUUUUUGUUUUGUUUUGUUUUUCUUGUUUGUUUGUUUUACCAAGUCCAAGGGUAUGUAUGUAUGUAUGUAUGUAUGUAUUUAUUUAUUUAUUUAUUUAUUUUCCAAUGGUAUUUAAAUAGAUCCUGGCUUCUUCAACUAAGUCCUGUGAAUAUGCUGACAAUCAGUGUAA